rnacentral:rRNA from 1 species
GGUAUUUUGACCGUGCAAAGGUAGCAUAAUCAUUAGUUUUUUAAUUGAAAGCUGGAAUGAAAGGUUGGAUGAGAAAUAAGCUGUCUCUAUUUAAUUUUAUUAGAAUUUUAUUUUUAAGUAAAAAAGCUUAAAUUUUGAUAGAAGACGAGAAGACCCUAUAGAGUUUUAUUUAUUCUUUAAAUAAAAUUAAUAGUAUCAAUUAUUUUUAUUUGAUAAAUAAAUUUGGUUGGGGUGAUUGAAAAAUUUAGUAAACUUUUUUUAUAUGUAUACAUUGAUAUAUGAUUAAUUGAUCCUUAAUUUAAGAUUAAAAGAUAAAAUUACCUUAGGGAUAACAGCGUAAUUUUUUUUGAGAGUUCUUAUCGAAAGAAAAGAUUGCGACCUCGAUGUUGGAUUAAAAUAAAAUUUUGGUGUAGAAGCUAAGA